AGUGAACGCUGGCGGUAGGCCUAACACAUGCAAGUCGAACGGCAGCACAGGAGAGCUUGCUCUCUGGGUGGCGAGUGGCGGACGGGUGAGGAAUACAUCGGAAUCUACUUUUUCGUGGGGGAUAACGUAGGGAAACUUACGCUAAUACCGCAUACGACCUACGGGUGAAAGCAGGGGAUCUUCGGACCUUGCGCGAUUGAAUGAGCCGAUGUCGGAUUAGCUAGUUGGCGGGGUAAAGGCACACCAAGGCGACGAUCCGUAGCUGGUCUGAGGGGAUGAGCAGCCACACUGGAACUGAGACACGGUCCAGACUCCUACGGGAGGCAGCAGUGGGGAAUAUUGGACAAUGGGCGCAAGCCUGAUCCAGCCGUACCGCGUGGGUGAAGAAGGCCUUCGGGUUGUAAAGCCCUUUUGUUGGGAAAGAAAUCCAGCUGGUUAAUACCCGGUUGGGAUGACGGUACCCAAAGAAUAAGCACCGGCUAACUUCGUGCCAGCAGCCGCCGUAA
rnacentral:rRNA from 1 species